AACGAACGCUGGCGGCAUGCCUAACACAUGCAAGUCGAACGAGACCUUCGGGUCUAGUGGCGCACGGGUGCGUAACGCGUGGGAACCUUCCCUUAGGUUCGGAAUAACUCCCCGAAAGGGGUGCUAAUACCGGAUAAUGUCUUCGGCCCAAAGAUUUAUCGCCUUUGGAUGGGCCCGCGUUGGAUUAGCUAGUUGGUAGGGUAAAAGCCUACCAAGGCGACGAUCCAUAGCUGGUCUGAGAGGAUGAUCAGCCACACUGGGACUGAGACACGGCCCAGACUCCUACGGGAGGAAGCAGUGGGGAAUAGUGGACAAUGGGCGAAAGACUGAUCCAGCAAUGACGCGUGAGUGAUGAAGGCCUUAGGGUUGUAAAGCUCUUUUACCCGGGAUGAUAAUGACAGUACCGGGAGAAUAAGCUCCGGCUAACUCCGUG
rnacentral:rRNA from 1 species